UACGUACCGUCCAAACGUUAUUCGGAAUUACUGGGCUUAAAGGGUACGUAGGCGGCGCUGUUAGUCGGGUGUGAAAUCCCAGGGCUCAACCCUGGAACUGCGCCCGAUACUGCAGUGCUUGAGGGAGACAGAGGUAAGCGGAACUGAUGGUGGAGCGGUGAAAUUCGUAGAUAUUCGGAAGAACACCAGUGGCGAAGGCGACUUACUGGACAGAGAUUGACGCUGAGGUGCGAAAGCGUGGGGAGCAAACAGG
rnacentral:rRNA from 1 species